UUGUGCUAGGCGGGGAGCUAGCGGUGCCCUAUUCCCGAAAUCCGCUUUAUGCGGGGCUGAAUUCCCUCUGGAGGAUUCUAGAACGGGAAAUCAAAAUCAUUUUGGCCGGCCACCACGCAACAGACGGUCACGAACCUCGUCAGGUCCGGAAGGAAGCAGCGAUAAGUGAUGCAGGCUGUGUCGUGGCUUGAUCCCGGUCAUAGCAAUGAUUGCUGACUUCCUGAAAGGAUUCAAUAGGGGGUGCACAA
rnacentral:SRP_RNA from 1 species